GAGAGAGGCCCGAGGCAAUAAAAACUGCUAAUUUUUACACUCCACGGUUAAACUCCGUGGCUCGCUCG